rnacentral:rRNA from 1 species
AGAGUUUGAUCCUGGCUCAGGAUGAACGCUGGCGGCGUGCCUAAUACAUGCAAGUCGAGCGAACGGACGAGAAGCUUGCUUCUCUGAUGUUAGCGGCGGACGGGUGAGUAACACGUGGAUAACCUACCUAUAAGACUGGGAUAACUUCGGGAAACCGGAGCUAAUACCGGAUAAUAUUUUGAACCGCAUGGUUCAAAAGUGAAAGACGGUCUUGCUGUCACUUAUAGAUGGAUCCGCGCUGCAUUAGCUAGUUGGUAAGGUAACGGCUUACCAAGGCAACGAUGCAUAGCCGACCUGAGAGGGUGAUCGGCCACACUGGAACUGAGACACGGUCCAGACUCCUACGGGAGGCAGCAGUAGGGAAUCUUCCGCAAUGGGCGAAAGCCUGACGGAGCAACGCCGCGUGAGUGAUGAAGGUCUUCGGAUCGUAAAACUCUGUUAUUAGGGAAGAACAUAUGUGUAAGUAACUGUGCACAUCUUGACGGUACCUAAUCAGAAAGCCACGGCUAACUACGUGCCAGCAGCCGCGGUAAUACGUAGGUGGCAAGCGUUAUCCGGAAUUAUUGGGCGUAAAGCGCGCGUAGGCGGUUUUUUAAGUCUGAUGUGAAAGCCCACGGCUCAACCGUGGAGGGUCAUUGGAAACUGGAAAACUUGAGUGCAGAAGAGGAAAGUGGAAUUCCAUGUGUAGCGGUGAAAUGCGCAGAGAUAUGGAGGAACACCAGUGGCGAAGGCGACUUUCUGGUCUGUAACUGACGCUGAUGUGCGAAAGCGUGGGGAUCAAACAGGAUUAGAUACCCUGGUAGUCCACGCCGUAAACGAUGAGUGCUAAGUGUUAGGGGGUUUCCGCCCCUUAGUGCUGCAGCUAACGCAUUAAGCACUCCGCCUGGGGAGUACGACCGCAAGGUUGAAACUCAAAGGAAUUGACGGGGACCCGCACAAGCGGUGGAGCAUGUGGUUUAAUUCGAAGCAACGCGAAGAACCUUACCAAAUCUUGACAUCCUUUGACAACUCUAGAGAUAGAGCCUUCCCCUUCGGGGGACAAAGUGACAGGUGGUGCAUGGUUGUCGUCAGCUCGUGUCGUGAGAUGUUGGGUUAAGUCCCGCAACGAGCGCAACCCUUAAGCUUAGUUGCCAUCAUUAAGUU